ACCUGAAGGACUUGUGCGUUACCUGUACUUGAACACAAACUGUGAGAAAGGGAGACCACGCACGGUUAAAACGUGCCUCUAUUAUAAAGAGGAGGGUGCUCCUCUCACAGAACCUCAAGAGUUUCAGUGCUUCUGAUGAAACUCACAGCUCCAUAAACCUGUCCUGGCAACCCAUACCCUAUGCCGACCGGCGAGGUUUCCUCACACACUACAGCCUCUGCAGCGAGACAUUCAGCCCUCCAGCAAGACUCCAAAAAGUGCAACAACAUCUCGCCACACUGACAGAGUACCGCCUGGAGGACUUGACCCCUGCCACAAAAUACAGCAUCACCCUGGCUGAGGUGACAAAAGGGGGCGAGGGACCUAAAGCCACAGUCCAAAUGAGCACACAGCCAGAGAAGCCUUUUAAUGUGUGGUGGAGUCUCAGUUUGCUGUUUUGUUCUUUUUGUUGACAACAUCGUGCACCAUUGUUUUGAAGAGAGUCAAAUGAAGCUCUUCCCUCCUGUACCGACUCCUGUUAUCGAUCUCACCUCUUAUCCAAGAGAGAAUCAGGAAAUGUUGGAGAGAAAGGAGGAGGUGAGCGAGCUGACGAUUCUCAAGCUGCACCCAGAGGGGAAGUCUGUCCCCGAGGAGACGGAGGAGGGGACUGCAGACGGCAUUGAAGAGGAGAAUGAACGGAGAGAUUCUAGGACGUCAGGAGAAAUCAGUGACGAGGAUUCUGACUGUACAGAUGAGGCGCUGAGAAGCUCCAGGGAAGGAGAAACCGCAGAUCUGGACAAGUUAGAGAAUGAGUUUGCGAUGCUGAUUUACAGGAACGGUUUGGUCUUUGAUUUGAAGACAGACUCACCCUGAAGUGGACAUGAAAGACACAAAUUUGCACAAACGUGAUCAGGGUUGACAUUUCUCUUGACUAUAAGCUUUAUGAAAAAGGAAAGUUUGAAGCCUACUCUUAAAAGUAGAGAGGGUGUCUGCCUCCUGGACCCUGAUUGGUGGAUGAUUCCAAGGGAUUUAACAGGCAGAAACCUCCAGCAGGACCAGACUCAUGUUAGACACACAUCUGCUGAGACCUACCGUGUUGGAGAGAGGGAUAGAGGGAGGU